UACGGAGGGGGCUAGCGUUGUUCGGAAUCACUGGGCGUAAAGCGCACGUAGGCGGCGAUCUAAGUCAGAGGUGAAAGCCCGGGGCUCAACCCCGGAAUUGCCUUUGAGACUGGAUUGCUUGAACGUCGGAGAGGUGGGUGGAAUUCCGAGUGUAGAGGUGAAAUUCGUAGAUAUUCGGAAGAACACCAGUGGCGAAGGCGGCCCACUGGACGACUGUUGACGCUGAGGUGCGAAAGCGUGGGGAGCAAACAGG
rnacentral:rRNA from 1 species